rnacentral:rRNA from 1 species
AUGUGGAGCCGUAGCGAAAGCGAGUCUGAAUAGGGCGUUGAGUAUUUGGUCGUAGACCCGAAACCAGGUGAUCUACCCAUGGUCAGGUUGAAGUUCAGGUAACACUGAAUGGAGGACCGAACCGACUUACGUUGAAAAGUGAGCGGAUGAACUGUGGGUAGCGGAGAAAUUCCAAUCGAACUUGGAGAUAGCUGGUUCUCUCCGAAAUAGCUUUAGGGCUAGCCUCAAGUGAUGAUUAUUGGAGGUAGAGCACUGUUUGGACGAGGGGCCCCUCUCGGGUUACCGAAUUCAGACAAACUCCGAAUGCCAAUUAAUUUAACUUGGGAGUCAGAACAUGGGUGAUAAGGUCCGUGUUCGAAAGGGAAACAGCCCAGACCACCAGCUAAGGUCCCAAAAUAUAUGUUAAGUGGAAAAGGAUGUGGCGUUGCCCAGACAACUAGGAUGUUGGCUUAGAAGCAGCCAUCAUUUAAAGAGUGCGUAAUAGCUCACUAGUCGAGUGACACUGCGCCGAAAAUGUACCGGGGCUAAACAUAUUACCGAAGCUGUGGAUUGUCCGUAGGACAAUGGUAGGAGAGCGUUCUAAGGGCGUUGAAGCAUGAUCGCAAGGACAUGUGGAGCGCUUAGAAGUGAGAAUGCCGGUGUGAGUAGCGAAAGACGGGUGAGAAUCCCGUCCACCGAUUGACUAAGGUUUCCAGAGGAAGGCUCGUCCGCUCUGGGUUAGUCGGGUCCUAAGCUGAGGCCGACAGGCGUAGGCGAUGGAUAACAGGUUGAUAUUCCUGUACCACCUAGCAUCGUUUUAAUCGAUGGGGGGACGCAGUAGGAUAGGCGAAGCGUACGAUUGGAUUGUACGUCCAAGCAGUGAGAUUGAGGGUUAGGCAAAUCCGGCACUCUUAAGAUUGAGCUGUGAUGGGGAGAGGAAAUUGUUUCCUCGAGUCGUUGAUUUCACACUGCCGAGAAAAGCCUCUAGAUAGAUAAUAGGUGCCCGUACCGCAAACCGACACAGGUAGUCAAGAUGAGAAUUCUAAGGUGAGCGAGCGAACUCUCGUUAAGGAACUCGGCAAAAUGACCCCGUAACUUCGGGAGAAGGGGUGCUCUUUAGGGUGCAAGCCCAGAAGAGCCGCAGUGAAUAGGCCCAAGCGACUGUUUAUCAAAAACACAGGUCUCUGCUAAACCGUAAGGUGAUGUAUAGGGGCUGACGCCUGCCCGGUGCUGGAAGUUUAAGAGGAGU